rnacentral:misc_RNA from 1 species
CAAUCCUUGUUAAGAAUUACACUGUAAGUUAAUUCUCUUAGUACAUUUUUUUUAAAUCUAGUUUUUGCUUCUGAUCAGUUAUCAAAUUUGAUAUAUUUGUAGGCAUGGCCUUAAUGAAUAUUGAAGAAACAAGAGUAGGGUUUAAGGAAAAACUAUUCAUUAUUCAUUUCCAAUGAUGCAUGGGCAUGGACAUGGGAUACAAAGAUUUCUGGAAAAAAUAAAAACACAAUAAGUUAGGGACACAUUAUAAGAAAAUUAUAUAAGAAUAUGCAUUUGAUUAACUUAACAUGUAAAAUAUCUCAUUUUUUGAUAAUUUGCAAAUAUCUAUUUGCAGGCUAAUGAUAGCAAAAUUAAUAAACACAAUUAAUGAAUAAUCUACUUUUCUCUAAUUGAGUUGUUUUUAAGGUUUUUUAGGGUUUAAGAUUCAACUUUUGAUAUCUAAGUUUUGUUGUUUAAUAUGCUGUUAAAUUUUCUUAUUUUAUUAAUAUGCAGCAAAACAAAACAUAUUUAUUACCAAAAAAAAGUGUCUAAUAUGUGUUUGACACCAAUAAAAGGUGGGUUGGACAUAGAUAUCAGACAUUUUUCAUUUUUAUUACUUUGCUGUAGAUGCAUGUUGGGCAUAUGUAUGUGUCAGGCAAGCAACCGAUACUGCAUUUUUUGUUGGGGUGUGUCUGUACUUAAUAGAUCAUUUACCUUUAUAUUGUCCCUACUUGUGUCAUUGUAAUCGCAUCUUGUUUUGUCCUUAAUUUUUGUUUUUUAAUUGAAUAUAUCAUUCAUUUACAUUGUGUGCAUCUAUUGCUUGGGCAAGUUGAAACUGGUAUCCUGAAUAUGACCCUAGAGCCAAGACCAACUUCUCUUGCAUGUUUCAAGUUCAUUUAUUUUGUAAAUGUGAUACAAGCUUGCAGUGUAUGGUGCUUCAGGGUUUUGGUUUGGCAUCAAAAAGCUUGCUUGUUUUCGAAACAGUUAUAUACUCAAUCAAAUAAUAAUAUACUAAUAAGUUUUAUUUUAUCAGCUUCCAGAUGGAAGGGUGAUAAAAGUAGGCACUGAGCGGUUCCAGGCACCUGAGGCUCUUUUUACACCAGAACUUAUAGAUGUUGAAGGUGAUGGAAUGGCUGAUAUGGUUUUUCGCUGCAUCCAGGAAAUGGAUAUUGACAACCGAAUGAU